AAGUCGUAACAAGGUUUCCGUAGGUGACCUGCGGAAGGAUCAUUAACACGUAUAACGUUAAACCCCCCCGUGCACCUUCAAACACCAUACAGCGCUUCGUGACCCAUCUUGUGUCGGGAUUGAUGGUCGGGAAAAACAGGGAUCUAGGGGGGAGCAGAGCUGGAAUACCCGAACAACUGUAACAAUGGAUAUCUUGGCUCUC
rnacentral:misc_RNA from 1 species